rnacentral:rRNA from 2 species
UACGUAGGUGGCAAGCGUUGUCCGGAUUUAUUGGGCGUAAAGCGCGCGCAGGCGGUUUCUUAAGUCUGAUGUGAAAGCCCUCGGCUUAACCGAGGAGGGUCAUUGGAAACUGGGAGACUUGAGUGCAGAAGAGGAAAGUGGAAUUCCAAGUGUAGCGGUGAAAUGCGUAGAGAUUUGGAGGAACACCAGUGGCGAAGGCGACUUUCUGGUCUGUAACUGACGCUGAGGCGCGAAAGCGUGGGGAGCAAACAGG